rnacentral:rRNA from 1 species
UACGUAGGGGGCAAGCGUUGUCCGGAUUUAUUGGGCGUAAAGAGCGUGUAGGCGGCCUGGAAGGUCAGCUGUGAAAACUCGAGGCUCAACCUCGAGACGUCGGUUGAAACCACCUGGCUAGAGUCCGGAAGAGGAGAGUGGAAUUCCCGGUGUAGCGGUGAAAUGCGCAGAUAUCGGGAGGAACACCGGUGGCGAAGGCGGGUCUCUGGGCCGAUACUGACGCUGAGGAGCGAAAGCGUGGGGAGCGAACAGG